rfam:Corynebacterium phocae strain M408/89/1, complete genome.
GCGCGAUUAGCUCAGCGGGAGAGCGCUUCCCUGACACGGAAGAGGUCACUGGUUCAAUCCCAGUAUUGCGCA